rnacentral:rRNA from 1 species
AACGAACGCUGGCGGCAUGCCUAACACAUGCAAGUCGAACGAGACCUUCGGGUCCAGUGGCGCACGGGUGCGUAACGCGUGGGAACCUGCCCUUAGGUUCGGAAUAACUCCCCGAAAGGGGUGCUAAUACCGGAUAAUGUCUUCGGACCAAAGACUUAUCGCCUUUGGAUGGGCCCGCGUUGGAUUAGCUAGUUGGUAGGGUAAAAGCCUACCAAGGCGACGAUCCAUAGCUGGUCUGAGAGGAUGAUCAGCCACACUGGGACUGAGACACGGCCCAGACUCCUACGGGAGGCAGCAGUGGGGAAUAUUGGACAAUGGGCGAAAGCCUGAUCCAGCAAUGCCGCGUGAGUGAUGAAGGCCUUAGGGUUGUAAAGCUCUUUUACCCGGGAUGAUAAUGACAGUACCGGGAGAAUAAGCUCCGGCUAACUCCGUG